ensembl:lncRNA
AGACCUGAGGGGGCGGGUAAUUCAAAGAGUGAAGCUAGCCGGAUGCUUAAGGAAUCAACCGAGGCAAAUUAUCGACAUGGUGUCAAACCCCCGUAUCGGGGUGGAGUCGUUGCUGGUGACGGUCAUCAGAAAAGCACCAGCCCAGCAGAAGGCAGGGAGAGCCAGAGUCUGGCCGGGGAAGUGCUUCAGACUCUAGACAGAGAAGGCCUACAAGACAUAAAUGCAGUUGGAAAUUCCUCGUGGGGGAGAGCUGCGCGUCAUCGGAGUGCUACUUGGGAGCGUUCCUGGUGGAUGGACCAGCGCAGAACCGUCUCCACGCUUGAAAGUGACAAAGCGGGUCCCUGCCACACUGGCCGGUAGCGACUUGCUGUCUGGAUUGUAUACUGGAUUGGGAUGACUCCUCUUUGGUGUGGGUUGAUCUAUUGCAGUGUUUUUUUUUUUCUGUGGAUUCUAUAUGUGGGGCGUGGUUUAAGUAUUGCAAACUGAUAAUACCUUUUUGGGGGAAGGCAUGUAUCUUGCUUUUGUGUGGACAUUGUGUGGGGG